rnacentral:rRNA from 1 species
UACGAAGGGGGCUAGCGUUGCUCGGAAUUACUGGGCGUAAAGGGCGCGUAGGCGGACAGUUUAGGCAGGGGUGAAAGCCCAGGGCUCAACCUUGGAAUUGCCUUUGAUACUGGCUGGCUUGAGUUCGGGAGAGGUGAGUGGAAUGCCGAGUGUAGAGGUGAAAUUCGUAGAUAUUCGGCGGAGCACCAGUGGCGAAGGCGACUCACUGGCCCGAUACUGACGCUGAGGCGCGAAAGCGUGGGGAGCAAACAGG